GAUGAAGAACGUAGUGAAAUGCGAUAAGUAAUGUGAAUUGCAGAAUUCAGUGAAUCAUCGAAUCUUUGAACGCACAUUGCGCCCGUCAGUAUUCUGGCGGGCAUGCCUGUUCGAGCGUCAUUACGCCCCUCAAGUCCCCUGUGGACUUGGUGUUGGGGAUCGGCGAGGCUGGUUUUCCAGCACAGCCGUCCCUUAAAUUAAUUGGCGGUCUCGCCGUGGCCCUCCUCUGCGCAGUAGUAAAACACUCGCAACAGGAGCCCGGCGCGGUCCACUGCCGUAAAACCCCCCAACUUUUUAUAGUUGACCUCGAAUCAGGUAGGACUACCCGCUGAACUUAAGCAUUCAAUAAGCGGAGGA
rnacentral:misc_RNA from 1 species